rnacentral:rRNA from 1 species
UAAGGAAUAUUGGUCAAUGGACGCAAGUCUGAACCAGCCAUGCCGCGUGGAGGAUGAAGGUCCUCUGGAUUGUAAACUUCUUUUAUCUGGGACGAAAAAGGGUCUUUCUAGAUCAACUGACGGUACCAGAUGAAUAAGCACCGGCUAACUCCGUGCCAGCAGCCGCGGUAAUACGGAGGGUGCAAGCGUUAUCCGGAUUCACUGGGUUUAAAGGGUGCGUAGGUGGGUCUGUAAGUCAGUGGUGAAAUCUCCGAGCUUAACUUGGAAACUGCCAUUGAUACUAUAGAUCUUGAAUACCGUGGAGGUCAGCGGAAUAUGUCAUGUAGCGGUGAAAUGCUUAGAUAUGACAUAGAACACCAAUUGCGAAGGCAGCUGGCUACACGAAUAUUGACACUGAUGCACGAAAGCGUGGGGAUCAAACAG